ACAAAGUUAGACAUGACAACGUUGAUCGCCUAGCCUUUAUGACAGCCUCAACAUGAUUGGUUGUAAAAACGUAAAGUACUGAACAAAUGAUCAUAUAUCUAAAACUCUGUCUCUUAAAAAGCCAUUGAAUUAAAAUUAUCUUUAUUAUGAUUCAUACAACCUAUAAUUAAUUCAAUCAGGAUUAACUGGUUAAUAUAUCUGUGGCUACAAAUAUAUUUUUUUUACAUUUAUUAUAUUUAUUAAUGACUUUAAGUUUUCAAAAAUAAUUGGUUUGCCACUUUUUUUCUUCUUGUAAGUUGGCCUAGUAUUUCAUAUCUUUGUUACUCUACUGUUAGGUAUGUUGUUCAUCACACUCCACAAAAGUUGAUAACAACUGUGUGAAUUUACAGCUGCCUUUAUUUAGUUUCCAGCCUUUGUAGAGAAGGAAAUGUUCAUGUAAUGUCCACUGAAACUGCAAGAAAAAUUCGGAACCUAUUCACUUUCGUAAAUAAACAAAUACAUCGUGUUCAUUAAUUAGGGCCUCCAAUGGCUCAGCUGUAAGCUUGAGAAUUUAUAUGUUAAAAAUCAGGGUUUGAUAUCCAUUGUGGAUACUGCACAGAUAGACCAUUGUGUAGCUUUGUGCUUCAAUACAAAACAUAAUAAAAAAAACACUUAACGUAAUGGGUGUAUGAACAGCCCAUAGGCUUAGUCUUUGGGUUUGACUUUACACUCUUUACAAAGAAAUUUAUUUGGAUUUUGGGUCAUGUUUUCAGGAGCAGAGCACACAAGCCACCUACUCGAGGAUGUUUAUAUGUGGAAUGAAAAACUCACACAGAGAUAACUGAAUAAAAAUCAAAUAGUCUUUAUUUAUACACUGUUUAUCUAUAUUGAAAUUCUCAAGGUUAUCUUGAAAAAACACUAACUCCAAGUCAUUGAAUUCUUCGUCCUGAAGAUCUAGGUGUUCAUUAAUAAGGCCUUCUAUUAUGUUCAGUAACAUAGACACAACAUUAGUUACCAACUAAAUUAACAUGAAAUCCUCUCAGUCAUAAUUUGUGUAUUAACAAUUCUUUUAAGAUAUUUUUAAGUAACUCCACUUUAAGCAUUUUCAAAUCUGCUAUUUCUUUAGUAACAUUAAGGUUCUUCACUUCAUACAUUAUUGAACUGUAAGUGAAACACUGUUAGACAAGAUAAGAAAUAGCAUACUUACAAGGAGUUUUUGGUGUGAGCUUCUUGUUGAUUUUGGAUUACUGCCAUCUUCUGGAGUCAGAAAAAUUCCCUGGAGCAACUUCAGAUUUUAGUUUGAAACACAGAAUUAUAUUCAAGAAUCUUAGCAGAUCUACUAUUUCUAUUAAUUCGAUUGGUUUUUGGUCGUUACAGAACUUAUUUAUGUCCCUUAUCUAAUACCUUUGACAAAAUUACCCAAGACAAUUAACUUACGAUGUAACUCGUAUCUCUUUACUAAGAUUAAUUCACUCAGUGAUUUUCCCUGCUGUCUCAUUAACAGUUUUUUGUGACAUUGGUUUAUUUCAUCAGGAGCUUUAUCUGAACAAUUGGGGUUUUAUCUCAAUAUACCAUGUCUGUCUUGCACUAGAGUCUGUAGCUGUGAAUUUUAUCGCCUCUUGAUCAAGACACAGAAUUUGUUCCAGACUAACUCCUGCAGUGGGUUUCAAGCCUCAUCUUCCUUAUUUGUUAUUGUAGUUCACUGGUAUCCACGUUUUUUUUAAUUUAAACUCUCAUUACAACUCUUGCACUAGAGUCUGUAGCUGUGAAUUUUAUCGCCUCUUGAUCAAGACACAGAAUUUGUUCCAGACUAACUCCUGCAAUGGGUUUCAAGCCUCAUCUUCAUUAUUUGUUAUUGUGGUUCACUGGUAUCCACGUUUUUUUAAUAACGUUUUCGAUCUGCUGCUUUCUCCAUACUAUACAUCAUAUACAUUAAAAAAAUACAAUGUAAUUCUUGAAAACCUUUAAAUUUGUAUAUACUUAGCAUUUGUAUUCCGCAAAUACUUCAUUAAUCAGGGCGGUCACAAACUUGGAACACCUGGAAAAGGAACAAAUAAAAGUCAGGGAAAUUAAAAAAAUUAUUCCAAACCUAGAAAAUAUGGGGAAAUAGUGGAUCAUCCCCAUUUUCUGUCGCCUACACUGGAAACAUGCACAAAGCAUACGGCUUAGCUAUGCCAGUUAUUGAUAUAUUUUAACAUAAUUCUGGUCAGUCACUGUUAUUUUAUCUGUUUAUGCUUACCUAACUCAUUUUGUUCGAUGACAAGUUAGGUCAAAUAUUCCUUUAUAAAUAAAAAUGUACCAUUUUAUUGUCUACAAUCAGGUUUCAAUGUCUUUGUCUGAAGAUCUUUUCCUGUACUACUAGUCUGAUAUGAGGAUAUACUGAAGGUUUUUAUACCCCAUUAUAACUAGCUUAUGAACUAAAGUAGUGUUAGGUUGGUCCAUGAAGAGAAAUUUAAAUAUACUCGUACAUGGGCAGGUUUUGAAAAUCUGGAAUUUUGCCUAGAAAGGCUGGAAAUAUUUUAUGGAAUAUUGUUGCCACCUUGUUAUUAGUCAAACUACAAAUUCCUUAGGUUUCUUUAUACCCAUUCUGUACUUUAAUAUAACUACAAAGUCUAUAGGAUUUUUACACCCACUCUGUACUUUAAUACAACUACAAAAUUAGUAGGUGUCUUUAUACCCAUUCUGUACUUUAAUAUAACUACAAAGUCUAUAGGAUUUUUACACCCACUCUGUACUUUAAUAUAACUACAAAGUCUAUAGGAUUUUUACACCCACUCUGUACUUUAAUAUAACUACAAAGUCUAUAGGAUUUUUACACCCACUCUGUACUUUAAUUCAACUACAAAAUCAGUAGGUUUCUUUAUACCCAUUCUGUACUUUAAUAUAACUACAAAGUUUAUAGGAUUUUUACACCCACUCUGUACUUUAAUUCAACUACAAAAUCAGUAGGUUUCUUUAUACCCGUUCUGUACUUUAAUAUAACUACAAAGUUUAUAGGUUUUCUUUAUACCCAUUCUGUACUUUAAUAUAACUACAAAGUUUAUUGGAUUUUUACACCCUUUUUGUACUUUAAUGCAACUACAAAAUCAGCAGGUUUCUGUAUACCCAUUCUGUUCUUGAUAUAUAUAACAAAAGGCUUCUCAUCUAUUUCAUGACUUUUCACUUGUUUCUUUAAUAAUUAAGAGAAAGCAUAAAUAAAAUUAAAUGGGGAGGACAAGGUGAAAAUAACAAAAUUAAUUUCUCAUUUUGAUUUGGAAGACAAGUCAGAUGAGAAUAUUAGUGAGGGAUUGUGAUCUACAAUAAUAGUUAAGCACGUAAACUGGCUUAAUCUUACCUGACUUCUUAAAUGUGUAAACAUUUAAAAUAAAAUUGUAACAGUUUUUGUACCUUUGCAGUUAAUGUUCUCUCUCUUAUUAU